GAUGAACGCUAGCGGCAGGCCUACCACAUGCAAGUCGAGGGGUAACUAGAGUGAUAGCAAUAUUACUUUGGCUAGACCGGCGCACGGGUGCGUAACACGUAUGCAACCUACCUUAUACUGGGGAAUAACUUCGAGAAAUCGGCGCUAAUACCCCAUAACAUUGCGAAGAGGCAUCUCUUUGCAAUUAAAGCUCCGGCGGUAUAAGAUGGGCAUGCGUCCAAUUAGCUAGUUGGUGAGGUAACGGCUCACCAAGGCUACGAUUGGUAGGGGUUCUGAGAGGAGGAUACCCCACACUGGUACUGAGGCACGGACCAGACUCCUACGGGAGGCAGCAGUGAGGAAUAUUGCGCAAUGGACAAAAGUCUGACGCAGCCAUGCCGCGUGCAGGAUGACGGCCCUAUGGGUUGUAAACUGCUUUUGUACGGGAAUAAACCCUUCUACGUGUAGGAGGCUGAAGGUACCGUAAGAAUAAGCACCGGCUAACUCCGUGCCAGCAGCCGCCGUAAUAC
rnacentral:rRNA from 1 species